GGUUGGGUGUAUGUGUGUGUCUGUGUAUGUGUGUGCGCGCGUGUGUGUAUAUGUCCUUUUUUUUUUUUUACUUUUUUACAUCACCUUCCUACACCUAGUGCUCGGCCGCCGGAACCUUGUUGCCAGGGGAGACGGCCGCUUUACGGCAGCACGUUUGAACCGGCAGGAGGGAAAAGUUUCUUCUUCGCCCCGCUUGGGCGCGACGCAGGUUAAUACGGGAAGAAAUCGUGCAUCGUAUUUGCAGGCAGAUUCACUGGAGAGUGAUCCCGGGCGCCAUUUGAGAUUUCAUUGAGUGACAGGGACAACAGCUGCUGCCUCAGUCCUCCUACCUCCUGCACAGGGAUCUGUGGCUGUAAUUUCAAAAGCUUCGAAAUGUGGAGGUUGGAUGGCACCGUCAUGACCUUUACCUUCAAAGCAGAAGACUAUCCAUUCUGUUUAUUUUUCCUGAUCCCAGAGAUUUCCCUGUUCCAUAUGCUUAUCCCUUAAUAGGCCAUUCAUGUAUAGAACUGGUCCUUGCCGCAUUUGUUCUUGGCCUUGAUAUUUUCGGCAUUUGCCUUUUCUAAUCCCUCACAAAUCUUCUAUCCUCUAAUCAGUAGGCAAAUGGGCAUCAACAAAGUUGUACAGUAAAUACAUCCUUAGGCAAUCAUAAGCCGUUGGUUAUGUAGGAUGCAAAAAGAAGACGUUGGCUUGUCCCCCCCCUUCCCCUGUUUUUCCUUUAAUGUCUACAAAUUCCUUUGAAAAGUCCUGGGCCUGCAGGAAUCACAGCAGAUUGCACUGUUCCAAAGCAGCCUUGAUAAUCAGAAGUCUUUCCAAUUCUUAGAGCAGUUUAGAGUUGUUGGAAGAAUUAGCAAAAUGUGAAAGAAUCUCCGGCCUUAGAAUAUGUUGAAUAAAUACCUGCCAGGACUGUUUGAACUAUAGUAGACCUGCACAGUUUUUGAUCUGCAAAGCCUACUGAAGGAUACGGUUUUCAUUUUUGUCUGGAAAUUGAUGUGCCAUCUUCAGAGUUCUACGAUUUUACUUCUCCUUGUUAUCCUCAUUGUGAAAUCAUCCUGUCUGAAUAUGUAACUAUUUUGGUUAGGAAAAGAAGAACUCUGAAACAAAAAUGUCAUUUCUAUACACUGACUUCAAAGAGGUGCAUUAAUUAAGAAGGUGGGAAUGGUAAGAUUUUAAAGGCUGAUGGGAAGGUGACUGGGCAAGGAACACUCUCUCACACAGGAUAGUGUGGAACAAUGGUAAAAUAUUUCAUUUCUGACCUUCCCCAAACCAGAGGUAGUUUCCUGUGUUGAGAAACAUUUCUGCCUGAUACCCCAGAAAGCCACUCCCGGUCAGAGGAGACAGUACUGAGCUCAAUGAAGCAGUGGUCUGACUUGGUAAAUAGAGCAUUAAAAUUAAUACUACAAAUAAUAAGUAUAUAGAGCCCUACUCCGCCUUUUUCCAAUUUGGACAUAAAUGAGUUUAUACUCUUUGCAGUACUGAUCCAGAGUUUUCAACUCAGCCUACCAAUGGCUCUUAUUUAGUGAUCCAAAUCAAAGUUGAUAAAACCCUCACAUAUAUUUCUUUUGAACAGCAGAUUUUCUUCAAAGACAGUAUUUUAAAGAGAUAAGCAGCUACUACAUUCCUUUGUUAAAUCUCUUACUUCCAUCCAUUUUGUGUCCUUGGGAUUCUCCAGAUGAAUACCUGGAUUAACCUGAUGAUUUUGUUAUUUUUUUAAAAAUAAAGCAGAAUGCUUUGAUUACA